rnacentral:tRNA from 1 species
GAAAAUCUAGUUUAUUAAAAACAUUAAUUUGUCAAAUUAAAAAAAUUUAUUUUAAUGAUUUUCU